GGGGAAGGGUAGCUUGCUACCUGACCUAGCGGCGGACGGGUGAGUAAUGCUUAGGAAUCUGCCUAUUAGUGGGGGACAACAUUCCGAAAGGAAUGCUAAUACCGCAUACGCCCUACGGGGGAAAGCAGGGGAUCUUCGGACCUUGCGCUAAUAGAUGAGCCUAAGUCAAGAUUAGCCUAGUUGGUGGGGUAAGGCUACCAAGCGACGAUCUUUACCGGGUCUGAAAAGGAUAUCCCCCCCUUGGGACCUGGGAACCGGCCCAAACCUCCUACCGGAAGGCAGCAGUGGGGGAUUUUUGGACAAUGGGCGAAAAGCCUUAUCCCACCCUUCCCCGGUUGUUUAAAAAAAGCCUUUUUGGUUUUAAAAGCCCUUUUAGCCAAGGAGGGGG
rnacentral:rRNA from 1 species